GGUUGCCGUCGCAAUUGAGACCUUAUUGCUACGGAAAAUGUUCCGUCGCGAUUAAGUCUUAUCAUUUGCGACUGAAAAUUUUUGCCGUAGUAACUUUAUAAUGAAUUGCUACGCUUUUUCCUCUUGCCGUCGCAAAACUUGUUUCUAUUUCCCUCACUAACAUCCCGAUCUGCAGCCCUAAAUAAUCUCUCUCACCCAACGCUCUGUCUCUAUCACGCCCAAAUUCUCUCUGUCUCUCUUCUCGCCCAAGCUCGCCCAUGCCAAGCGCUCUCGCUCUCUAUCUCUUUCACGCCCAAACUCUCUCUCUGUCUCUCUUCUCACCCAAGCUCGCCCAUGCCAAGCGCUCUCUCUGUCUCUAUCUCUCUUGCCCAAGCUCCGCAGCGCCUUGAACAAGACAUAGUCGAGGUCCGAAAGAAUCGUCAGAGAGAAUAAGCUUUUGGGAAGAGAGUGGCGCCAGAUUCUUGAUGUUGGUUUAUGUAAAUUUCAAUUAUCAUCUUUCAGUUUUAGUCUUAAGAAGUUACUUUUCUGGAUUGAAUUGUUUUGAACGACCUUCAUACAUGCUAACCUACUACAUCAUAGUUUCACACUAUUUAUACUACGCAUGACAUCCAAUAAUCACUAACAGUGGCUGGUUGGCAACCAGACUGCUAAUCUUAGAACUUUUUCCUGUCUGAUGGAAUGUGCAGAGUGGUUCCCUUUCCUUCGUCACGAACCAUGACUCAAUAUUUGAGGUCGAGGCCUCAAGCUUCCAGCAAGUGAUGAUGUUUCUACUUCCAUGGCCAUCUAGCUGAGUGUUUUCAGGUUUUCUAAGCAUCUUUUUGUGAAAGAUUCUUGAUUCUCUUGAAUUGAUUCAUGUGUCCAGGGUAUAUAUACUUACCCUCAUUGUCAAUGGAAUGGGAGAUAACUAACUUGGUCUGAGAGAUUUAGACUUUUGAUACUUAUCUUUAAGUGUCUAUGGCUCUAUGGCAUCAAGCUUUCUAGGAUAAGAUCUAGAAAACACCCUUCCAUAACAUCCUCUUUCAUUAGCUCGUUGAACUUUAGCACCUUUAGGUUGUUGGUCAUCCGUUUUACCAUGGUAGAUUAUAACUGCAAACUUCUGUGUUUUGGAUAAAAACCUGUAUGUUCUACUCUGUAAUUGCCUGUGCUUAUGGCUAGGGGGUAAAUCAAACAAGUUUAUCUUUAGUUAUAGUUUGAAUGUCAUGAACAUGACACAUAAUGCAGACAAUCUUAAUUUCUGUAAUUGUUUUCUUGUCUAUGACAUGCAAACUAUAUAGGUAAUAUAUGACUAAAGCUUUGACAAUCAUAAGUAUUAUGAUUGUGGUCGCCAUUUUUUUUUUGUUUUUAUGGUGAUGUGCGUAAAAAAAAAAAAAAAGGCUAGCUUGGCUUAAAAUCAUAUAGCAUAUUGUUAAGGUCACUCUAUAACUAUCGUUGUUGUUUGAUCGGUGGGUUUCACAAAUUCAAUGCUAACUCAGGAAUUGUUCUCUGUUGUUAACAGUUAAAAGGGUCUCUUAGAGUCCGGUUAUAGGAUGACAUCUUCUGUUAACAAUAGUAAUUGACAAUGUAUGUGCAGAGCUUGCAUGGAAAGGCAGCUUCAUAAUAAAUAUAUUUUGUGCACAAACAGUAAAGGGUAGAAGAAACUGUUUCAUGUAUUUUUCCCUUCUUAAAGGUAACGAGUGUUGGAAUCAAUACUGAAUGGGGAUUGUUGAUGGCAAGUAUAUCUCUGAGGAUACCUAUAAAGAAACUCUUCUACAGAUUUAUGUUCUUUCCAAUUUCUGACCUGAAACUGUUGAGGAUGCUAGCUAAUGAAGGUCCUGCAGUGUUGUGUUCCUUGCAAUCUUUGACCUGAAACUGUUGAGGAAGCUAGCAAAUGAAGGCGUUACAGUGUUGGGGUUGCCUUGACUAGUCUUUUUUUUUUUUUUGGAUUUGUGAUUUUUGGUUGGUGUAAGAAUGAUAGAUAUUGUAUUUUGAUAUUUGUCAAUUUAUAAUAUUUGUGGAACAUGGCACUUG